CUUAGGGAAAGGUCUCACAGCCCUAUUGAUGAUGGAGAUGAUCCUAUAGUCAUCCGUGGAAGUUCUUGUGGGGGUACGAAACAGUGAAGAGUGCAAUUUAGAAGGCACAGAUACACAUGGAAAGUAUGUACCUGGGAUCUCAGAUCUCAUCCCCACCCUGCUGCUUCCAACAUGGACUCUCACUAAAAUGAAGAGAAACUGUUGAAGUGCAUAGUGUUUCUCAGGGUUUGUAUUGACUUAACUGAGGUAAGAAUCUUACUCAAAUUUCUUGAAACAAACAAAAAAGCUGUUUUUCCUGUAAUGUAAUCAUGAGAGAAUGAUUUCAGUGCCUUCCAGUUAUUUUUUUUUCUGCUUUCAGAUUCUUUCGUCCUCUAUUAGAUUAUUUUUUUAAGCACUCCAUAGUCCAUGUCUGUUGUACCUAAAAGUCACCCUUCUUCAGUGAUUCAUAUCUGAAUGCCAAAUGGAAGAUAGCUAAAAUACAAUGGCCUUGUGUAAGUAUUUGAUCAGGUUAUGCCCUGUGCUAUAAGCUGCCUGCUGCUUGAUCACUGGGUUUGAAGGGGACCGUGCUCUUCAUGCUGAGUUUGAACGUAGUCUGGUUGGAAGCAAGUGUUCUGCUU
rnacentral:lncRNA from 1 species